rnacentral:rRNA from 1 species
UCCUACGGGAGGCAGCAGAGGAGAAUCAUUCGCAAUGGGCGAAAGCCUGACGGUGCGACGCCGCGUGAGGGAUGAAGGCCUUCGGGUUGUAAACCUCUGUCAGGAGUAUGGAACGCCGAGGAUGCUAAUACCAUCUUCGGGUGACUAAGGCUCCAAAGGAAGCGCCGGCUAACUACGUGCCAGCAGCCGCGGUAAUACGUAGGGCGCAAGCGUUACUCGGAAUCACUGGGCAUAAAGGGCGUGUAGGCGGGUGCGUAAGUCUGGUGUGAAAUCCCUCGGCUCAACCGAGGAAGGCCAUCAGAUACUGCGUGUCUUGAGUGCGGGAGGGGAGAGUGGAACUCUUGGUGGAGCGGUGAAAUGCGUAGAUAUCAAGAGGAACGCCGGUGGCGAAAGCGGCUCUCUGGCCCGUUACUGACGCUGAGGCGCGAAAGCUAGGGGAGCAAACGGGAUUAGAUACCCCGGUAGU